rnacentral:rRNA from 1 species
GUAGGGUGCGAGCGUUAAUCGGAAUUACUGGGCGUAAAGCGUGCGCAGGCGGUUCGUUAAGUUCGAUGUGAAAGCCCCGGGCUCAACCUGGGAACUGCAUUGGAAACUGGCGAGCUUGAAUGCGGCAGAGGGGGGUGGAAUUCCGCGUGUAGCAGUGAAAUGCGUAGAGAUGCGGAGGAACACCGAUGGCGAAGGCAGCCCCCUGGGCCGACAUUGACGCUCAGGCACGAAAGCGUGGGGAGCAAACAGGAUUAGAUACCCUGGUAGUCCACGCCCUAAACGAUGCUCACUAGGUGUUGGGGAAGCGAUUCCUUGGUACCGUAGCUAACGCGUGAAGUGAGCCGCCUGGGGAGUACGGCCGCAAGGUUA